rnacentral:lncRNA from 1 species
CUAAUCAGGUGCACUCAGGUAAGGAGAUGAGCUGGAUUCUCCAGGUGGACCCAAAGUAAGCACAAGGAUACUUACACCUGGGAGAGGGAGGCAGAAGGUUAGUAUCAAAGUGAUGUGGUGUGAGGAAGACUUGUGUUGCCAUUUCAGGCUUUGAGGUUGGGGAAGGAGCCGCAAGCCAAAAUAUGUGGGCAGCAAGGAAGCAGAUUCUCCUCAGAACCUCCCAGAGGGGCACAGCCCCCGGGUGCUUUGAUGUCGGUACACUGAGACCCGUUUUGGACUUCUAACCUCCAGAAAUACUUGGAAAUGUCCUAAUCAGAUGUCUCGUCGAUCUGCUGCCCAGGUGAGGGGAGUGGAGUCGGAAGAGAGCCUCCAGCUGUUGCUUCCUUCAGGAUCAGAAGCUGCAGAGAAGAACCUUAAGCAAGGCCAUGUACUCCCAGGGCAGCCACAUCCUCUGACUGAGGGAGGCAGAGGCACAAAGGCCCAGCUGUUCCUCUCCAAAGGGGAUGCCCGAUGGGCCACACUAGCUCCAUCACUCCUCGCUGAAUUGGCCAAGGCUUUGUUUCCCUUUUUCCUCUGCUCAAUACUGCUUCUUUCCCUCGCAUCCUGCUUUUUCACAUGUGCUGAUCCCUAAUAAACAUCUUGUACUUCAAACUUGGGCUAAUUGUUUGCUGCCAGAGAACGUGAUCUAAGACACUAUUUCUUUCUGUCCAUAUUGCUCUUUGUUCAGAUUAGUUCAGAAUAUAUUUGGAACCAAGGACAGAUCCUCUAUUUAUAUUAAAUGUGAUUUUAAAAAUAUUGAACCACAAAAUAUUGAAUUCCAGUUUGUCAGGAUCAUUUUGGAUAUAAUUUUACCCUCCUAGGCAUUUGCUUCACCCAGAUUUGUGUCAUCUUAACAUACGAUUACCAGCAACUAUUUCCCAAAGUUUUUGGUAAAAUGUUAACCAAGUCGUUUUUGAAGAUGAGUCCUAUUCACUAGUCUGGACUAACACAUGUCAAUUAAUUAGUGUUUACUGGUUAUGAUUAUUCAGUUAAGAAUUGUUUUAUUCUAUUUUGAUAUUGCCAGAGUAACAUUAAAGAGAUUAUUACUCCUAAAUAAUUUUUUAUUGCAAUAUAAAUUAUAUACGGAAAGGUGCACAAAACCUAAGUCUAAGAUUAACGUGUGGGCGCACUCCUGUGCCCGCCAUGUCAAUCAGGAAUUGGAAUAUUACUAGCAGCUCAAAAGCCCUUCAAACCCCUAACAUGAUCCUCUUUCCUAAAAGUAGCUGUGUUCCUAGCUUUAACAUCAUAGGUUAUUUUGAUUUUAUUUUAGUACUUUUAUGUAAAUUGAAUGUUAUGGCUGAUAGUCCUUUGUGUGUCUGAGAUUAUUCAUGGAAUGUUAUGUUUGUGAGAUUGAUAAAUAUUAUUGUGUACAGUAGUACUACAUUGAUUUUUAUUGCUGUAUAGUAUCCCAUUUUGUGAACAGAGCUCAAUUUGUUCAUCCAUUCUAGCAUAGAUGGACAAUUUUCUAGUUUUUGAUUGUUUCAAAAUGUUGCCUUGAAUAUUUUUACAUUUUUGGGGUACCUAUGUUGGGUUCCUGUGGUCUGUAUACAUAAGAAUGCAAUUGACGGGUCCUGGGAUAUAUCCAUAUUUCUCUUUGACAGAUAUCACCAGUUUUCCAAAGAAGUUGUACAAUUUUGUACUUCCACCUACAGCAUAUAAGCAUUCCAGCUGCUCCAUGUCCUCCCCAACACGUUGUAUGUUCAUAAUCUAUUUCACUUGCCUUUCAUUAACAGUUAGUGAAAUAGAGCACAGGGGUAUUGAUCUCUUGGAUUUCCUCUUCUGUGAGGUUCUUCUAAAUAUCCUUUAUGAUUUUUUUAGACUAGACUGUUUUUCCCUAUUGAUCACCAGCAAAUUUUACAUGACUUGGAUACAAGCAGUUGGUUGGUUAUACAUAUGAA